GUUGAAUUAGUUAAAGUUAUAACCUCUAAUUUGUAAUUAGGAAUUGAUGCUCAUCAUUCAACU
rnacentral:tRNA from 1 species